UACGAAGGGGGCUAGCGUUGUUCGGAAUUACUGGGCGUAAAGCGCACGUAGGCGGAUACUUAAGUCAGGGGUGAAAUCCCGGGGCUCAACCCCGGAACUGCCUUUGAUACUGGGUAUCUCGAGUCCGGAAGAGGUGAGUGGAAUUCCGAGUGUAGAGGUGAAAUUCGUAGAUAUUCGGAGGAACACCAGUGGCGAAGGCGGCUCACUGGACGACUGUUGACGCUGAGACGCGAAAGCGUGGGGAGCAAACAGG
rnacentral:rRNA from 1 species